rnacentral:misc_RNA from 1 species
UGGAUUUUUGAUGAUAUAAAUGAUGGAACAGUACAAAAUAAUGGUAUGCAAUGAAUUCAUCUUAGACUUGAUUAUGAUAGAACAUGUAUACUACUAUAGACAGUCACGGAAAAUUUGCUACUACUUUGUCAAUAGAUAGUUAUUUUCCACCUAUCUUGAACUGAUGUAUACGAAAAAUUCUGCAGAAAAGAUUAGAAAAAAACUACGAUAUGGAUACUUCACUACAUUUUUAUCCCUAACAACUAUAUAUAUAUAAGGGAAAAAAAACAUGAUACUGUUAUUGCCCUACCGGUGAAAGUUGCCUUAACGAGUUUGAUUCGCUGGAAAAUGCUGCCAGCAGCUUUUCCUUGGUCAGCUGUUCGGAUCCACUAGACUUGAUGACAAAUGUGUGAUAUACAGUACCAUUCCCCGCGGAAAGUUUUGAUUCAACAACGUUUAUUUGUGCCUCUUUGAAUAUUUGGAUGAUUCGAGAUAGUGGAUGGGUUUCCAGUGAGCAGCUCACCCUUACAAUGACUUCAUCAUUGGCAGCUUCUAUGUUGAUGUCGGGUCCUCGGAUUUGAAUCUCAGAACUAGGGCUGUCUUCUGAAGUGAUUGCGUCCCUUGAAGUGCUUCCUAAUCUCAGCUCCCUCUCAGAUUCCAUAUCUCUUAGUUUUUUCUGCAGCUCAGUUAUGUAAGCAAUGGCAUCUCCUAAGAGGGAAGCUUUGUCCAUCUUGGAGAUAUUUGGAACAACAGCUCGUAAGGCAUAGAACCGCUGGUUCAACUUUUCCCUCCGCUGUCUCUCUGCCUCUACAUGAUUGAGAGGCUCUUCCCUUCCAUUGGCUGGCUUUCUUCCACGUUUUCGAGGCCUCUUUUCAUCCACUGGGCCUGCACGGUCUUCCUUGCACGAAGCUUCAACAUCUGAAUGUUCAGACUCAACAUUGUGUGCUGGGGAAACAAUGGUUCUCGAGGUUGCUCCGGUGAAAUCAAUUUGCAUUCUAGCAGCUGGUUUUUGAUGUUGAAAGUUGUUCAAGCGGAAUUCUUCCCUCCCACCAUUCAUCAGGUUGUGUCCUGGGGUUGGAGGAGCAUAGAGCUCCACAGGCUUUCCCAGCUUCACAUUACUGAAUUGAGCCCAAGAAGCAGGAUUUAAACCAUUCCGUGCGUUCACAAAUGGCAUCCUGUUACCAUUUUGGUACAUGUCCCAUGGCCUCUCCUCCGCUUUCCUAACAGCAAGUUUUUCCCUAAAGUGAGUACCAGAAUUCAAAUCAUGCCCAAAUAUCUUAGGAUUUCCAUCUGUUCGUUCAGUAACAGCGCCAGAGUUGGAAAGGCGGGGAUUGUUUCCCUCGUUUUUCUCAGGUACAGCUGCUAUACCUGCUGCUUGCUUAUCCCUAACAAGUGAUAAAAACGACGAGAAGCAAGAUUUUAUAUUCUGUAAUAGCUCUAAACUCUCCGGUAUCGAUCUCACUGACCCCAAUUCCACAACUCCUACAUCAGUUGGAAUCAAAGCAAUAGUUUGCAUACCAGCAGACUUAGCUAAGAAAGAUCUAGCACAAUAAUCUAGAUUAGAUGUCAAUGCAUCUGAUAACCACAAAUACUUACCUGAUCCAAAACACUUCCCGGGACCUCCCUCUCCUCGAGGGAACGAAAAAUACAUCGAGGCAAGGAAGAACAUUUCAGUAUCAGUAACUCUAUCUAAUCCAAAAGCAUAGUUAUCUUCAUCUGUUCCACCAAAUAACAUAUGCAGCUUCUGAAGUACCCUCUUCCUCAUCCUUUGUUGACCCUCAUCAUCGAGGCGUAGAUUGAGAAUCUUUUUAACUUCACGCUCCUCUGCUUCCUUAGGCUCUCUGCAACACCCAUCCCCCCACCCUAGCACCAAUUCCCCUGACUUAGACCGCGAAAUUUGCCAAAAGAUGGCAUAAUUCCAGCUAAAAUUAGCGGCGUUUGGGCGUUCCACGAGAUCUGAAAGCUUAUUCUGCAAAUUCUGAUCAUUCCCUAUUGCCAUUAAAGAACAUUCUGCUGAAACAGAGCCAGACAUCAAAUAUUCAAAAGCUUCCUUUCCUAAAACAGACGCCACCAUAGCCUUAUCCUCACCACUCCACAACAUAUUCCCAGUAACCAUAUCUAUAUACCUACUAAUAAAAUCCUUUCAACUACAAA